CCUUCGCCCAGCGGGCCGGCGCGGGGGCGCGAGCUCCAGAAGCUCUCCCCCCAGGAAAGAAGGGCUGGGAUUUUUAAAAAAUCCCCGGGGUGCCCUUACAGGAGCCUUGGCCGGCGAGUCCGGGUGCCCCUUGGACCCACCCGAGGAGGCCGACGUCGCGCCCGGAGAGAAGCUGGGAGCCCCCGGUGCCCGGCGCCCCAGGCGAGGUUGCUGGGAGCCGGGCGCGGCGGGAGGAGCCGCUUAGCGGGCGCCGCAGCCCCGAAGCUGGAGGGGGGCUGACGCCCACUUCCCGAGGGAGAGAGAAACCCAGUUGCAAGGCCAUUAAUCACAUUAUCCGUUACGCCAGAAACAAAUGGUUUUGUCACUCGCGCACAGAAGCGGAGGUUGAUGCUGUGUCAAACUGUAUCGAAAUAGAUGAAGUUGUGAUGA